rnacentral:rRNA from 1 species
UACGUAGGGCGCAAGCGUUGUCCGGAAUUAUUGGGCGUAAAGAGCUCGUAGGCGGCCAGUUGCGUCUGCUGUGAAAUCCCGGGGCUCAACCCCGGGCGUGCAGUGGAUACGGGCUGGCUAGAGGCAGGCAGGGGAGAACGGAAUUCCCGGUGUAGCGGUGAAAUGCGCAGAUAUCGGGAGGAACACCGGUGGCGAAAGCGGUUCUCUGGGCCUGUACUGACGCUGAGGAGCGAAAGCGUGGGGAGCGAACAGG